rnacentral:rRNA from 1 species
GGUUGAUCCUGCCAGUAGUUAUAUGCUUGUCUCAAAGAUUAAGCCAUGCAUGUCUGAGUACAGACCUAAAUCUAAGGUGAAACCGCGAAUGGCUCAUUAAAUCAGUCGUAAUUCCUUGGAUAGUGAAAAAACUUCCUCGGAUAACUGUGGAAAAUCCAGAGCUAAUACGUGCAUCUGAGCUCCGACCUCGGCGUGAGUCGUGGGAAGAGCGCAUUUAUUAGAUUCAAAACUGACCGACGUACUCCUUCGGGAUGCGUCGCAAUGUCAUACUUGAUGACUCCGGAUAACUUUGCCGAGCGCUACGUCCUUUGUGGCGGCGCCGUAUCUUUCAAGUGUCUGCCUUAUCAGCUUUCGAUUGUAGGUUAAAUGCCUACAAUGGCUGUAACGGGUAACGGGGAAUCAGGGUUCGAUUCCGGAGAGGGAGCCUGAGAAACGGCUACCACAUCUAAGGAAGGCAGCAGGCACGUAAAUUACCCACUCCCAGUUCGGGGAGGUAGUGACGAAAAAUAACGAUGUGAGACUCUUCCGAGGCCUCACAAUCGGAAUGAGUGCAUUCUAAACAUUUGGACGAGGAUCCAUUGGAGGGCAAGUCUGGUGCCAGCAGCCGCGGUAAUUCCAGCUCCAAUAGCGUAUAUUAAAGUUGCUGCGGUUAAAAAGCUCGUAGUUGGACCUACUAGAUCCAACUUGUGCGGUGGUGGCUUGUUGUACGCGCGUUCUACGCGGUCCCUCGGGGUAUCCCUCCUGGUAGCUCUUCUGGGGCGAUGUGUGUGUGUGUUGGGUGGGGGUUAGGGAUGUCGCUUGGUUCUCUGUCAAGAGAGGACGGGUGGAGUCUCUUUCUUUCUCGCCUGGCUCGCGCGCGCUCGUUGCUGGAGGAUGUCCAUUGGGUUGUGUGUCUUCCGGGCGGGCGGUAGAGCGUAGUCUCUGAGUAUAGCCAGUGUGCGUUUGGUACAAUUAAAAUUUUGUCGGCUCGCUCGGAGUGCUCUUUACCGAGUGUUCCAGGGUGGCCGACACGUUCACUUUGAAAAAAUUAGAGUGCUUAAAGCGGGCCGAAAUGUCGCCUGAAUGUUGUUGCAUGGAAUGAAGGAACAGGACCUCGGUUCUGUUCUUUUUGUCGGUUUUAAUGAACCGAGGUAAUGAUUAAAAGGAACAGACGGUGGCAUUAGUAUUGAGUCGCUAGAGGUGAAAUUCUUGGACCGACUCAAGACUGACUACUGCGAAAGCAUUUGCCAAGAAUGUUUUCAUUAAUCAAGAACGAAAGUUAGAGGAUCGAAGGCGAUCAGAUACCGCCCUAGUUCUAACCCUAAACAAUGCUAACUAGCGAUCCGUCGGAGUCAUUCCCACGACUCGACGGGAAGCCCCAGGGAAACCAAAGUCUUUGAGUUCCGGGGGAAGUAUGGUUGCAAAGCUGAAACUUAAAGGAAUUGACGGAAGGGCACCACCAGGAGUGGAGCUGCGGCUUAAUUUGACUCAACACGGGAAACCUCACCAGGCCCGGACAUCAGAAGGAUUGACAGAUUGAGAGCUCUUUCUCGAUUCGAUGGGUGGUGGUGCAUGGCCGUUCUUAGUUGGUGGAGUGAUCUGUCUGGUUGAUUCCGAUAACGAACGAGACUCUACCCUACUAACUAGUCGGCGGAUCGUAACCCCGAGAUGGGUGGAACUGAAAGCGAUCGUAUUAAACGUGCCCGAACGUGGUGUCAUUGCGCGCAUCUCUUCGGAUUUGUUGCGGGGUUAGCUGCGUGUCGGGUAGCAAUGACGUUUCGAGAUAGGUUUCACUUAAUGGGGGCGUCCGUCGCAAUGUAUCUUCUUAGAGGGAUCAGCGGCGUCUAGCGCACGAGAAAGAGCAAUAACAGGUCUGUGAUGCCCUUAGAUGUUCUGGGCCGCACGCGCGCUACAAUGUAGGGCUCAGCGUGACAUCCUUCUCCGAAAGGAGCAGGUAACCACAUGAAACCCCUACCCGAUUGGGAUUGGGGAUUGCAAAUGUUUCCCAUAAACGAGGAAUUCCUAGUACGCGCGAGUCACUAGCUUGCGUUGAUUACGUCCCUGCCCUUUGUACACACCGCCCGUCGCUACUACCGAUUGAAUGAUUCAGUGAGGGCAUCGGACUGGCGCCUUUGGUUGCAACAUAUCUUAGGCUGACGGAAAGAUGUCCGAACUUGAUCAUUUAGAGGAAGUAAAAGUCGUAACAAGGUUUCCGUAGUGAACCUGCGGAAGG